UACGUAGGCGCGAGCGUUGUUCGGAGUUACUGGGCGUAAAGCGUGCGUAGGCGGUUUUGUAAGUUUGGUGUGAAAUCUCCCGGCUCAACUGGGAGGGUGCGCCGAAAACUGCAAGGCUGGAGUAUGGGAGAGGUAGGCGGAAUUCCUGGUGUAGCGGUGAAAUGCGUAGAUAUCAGGAGGAACACCUGUGGUGUAGACGGCUUACUGGACCAUGACUGACGCUGGAGGCACGAAAGCGUGGGGAGCAAACAGG
rnacentral:rRNA from 1 species